rnacentral:pre_miRNA from 1 species
UAUCUACUCCCUCCGUUCGGAAUUACUUGUCACAAAAAUGGAUAAAAAUGGAUGUAUCUACAACUAAAAUACAUCUAGAUACAUUCAUUUCUUGGACAAGUAAUUCCGAACGGAGGGAGUAUUAC